GAGUGACAUCGUCUUUAAACCCCGCGUGGCAAUCCCUGACGCACCGCCGUGAUGCCCAGGGAAGACAGGGCGACCUGAAAGUCCAACUACUUCCUCAAGAUCAUCCAACUUUUGGAUGACUACCCAAAAUGCUUCAUUGUGGGCGCAGACAAUGUGGGCUCCAAGCAGAUGCAGCAGAUCCGCAUGUCCCUCUGAGGGAAGGCCGUGGUGCUGAUGGGCAAAAACACCAUGAUGCGCAAGGCCAUCAGGGGCCACCUGGAGAACAACCCAGCUCUGGAGAAACUGCUGCCUCACAUCCGGGGGAAUGUGGGCUUCGUGUUUACCAAGGAGGACCUCACUGAGAUUCGGGAUAUGCUGCUGGCCAAUAAGGUUCCAGCUGCUGCUCACGCUGGUGCCAUUGCCCCGUGUGAGGUCACUGUCCCAGCUCAGAACACUGGUCUGGGGCCCGAGAAGACCUCCUUCUUCCAGGCUUUGGGCAUCACCACCAAAAUCUCCAGAGGCACCAUUGAAAUUCUGAGUGAUGUGCAGCUGAUAAAGACCGGAGACAAGGUGGGAGCCAGCGAGGCCACACUAGCCACCAUGGGCCACAGUGAAGACAAAGGAGUACGGGCUGCACCACGGGCUGGUGCUGACAGUCAGUAA